CGACGCAACGCGCAGAACCUUACCAGCCCUUGACAUGGGACUCGCCGGGAGCAGAGACGCUCCCUUCGGUCGGCCGGAGUCCGCACAGGUGCUGCAUGGCUGUCGUCAGCUCGUGUCGUGAGAUGUUGGGUUAAGUCCCGCAACGAGCGGCAACCCUCGUCUCCAGUUGCCAUCAGGUUAAGCUGGGCACUUUGGAGAAACUGCCGGUGACAAGCCGGAGGAAGUGGGGAUGACGUCAAGUCCUCAUGGCCCUUACGGGCUGGGCUACACACGUGCUACAAUGGCGGUGACAAUGGGAUGCGAAGGGGCGACCCGGAGCCGAUCCUAAAAAGCCGUCUCAGUUCGGAUUGCACUCUGCAACUCGAGUGCAUGAAGUUGGAAUCGCUAGUAAUCGAGGAUCAGCAUGCCUCGGUGAAUACGUUCCCGGGCCUU
rnacentral:rRNA from 1 species